CUUUAUAAAAUGUACAUAAAGAACAUGAAACCCUUGAGGUAAAAGUGAGAGCAGUUUGGAACUCAACCAGAUACAGACCCAACAAUGACCCAAAAAUCAAUCUACAGUGGGGGUGUAGGAAAAUAAGAGAGCAAGUUUGGGUUCUGUACAGGAGUGGAGAUCGUUAAAAUGUCCUGGUAAUGCUAUUUACAUUAAAUACAUCCAGUUACAGGUAUUUAUAGGGUAUUUACAGACACAAACACCACGUUUGUCCCCUUUGCAGCUGGAGCGUGCAGCAGGUCUGAGCGUUCCUGAGAAGGUGCUGAGGCUCUUCAUCCUUGCUCUCAAGAAUUUGUGUUUCUCCAACCCCUUCUGUGGUCGUAUCCGUCCAAAAAUUCCUCAGGUGUGGUUGUUGCAAUGAUCCCAUUUUCCCCUCCCAUCUGUGGAAGGUGAAAGUUGCCUGCUCAAAUCCUGGAUCCCAAGGGAUUGGCAGGAAUGUUUCUCCAGCUGUAGCCACGACCUUGGCAUUGAGCAAAGCUCAAGAUUCACUUGUCCAAGCACUCAACAUUCCAGUCUCCUUCUCAAUGGGAAAAUAAAAUCGUACAGAGACUGGAAAAGGAAGGAAAUCAGUUGUAAAUCACUUGUCAUAGUCCCUUAAGGUGACAUCCAACCUGAGUGUGUCACAGAGGAGCCAGGCAGGAGAGGCACAGAUCCAUCCAUCCCAUCCAUCCCGACCCAUCCAGAGGGAGCACAAAUGAUCCUAUUUAGGUUUCAGUUUCUCCUCGGGAAUCUGAGAUGGAUUUUAUCAUUGCCAGGUGCUGCUCAGGGCAGCAGGGAAUUCCCGUUCCUGGAGGGAUUUCAGAGCCCUGUGGAUGUGGCACUUGGGGACAUGGGCCAGUGGUGGCCUUGGCUGUGCUGGGGCAUGGCUGGACUCGAUGUCCUUGGAGCUAACUCCCAACCUAAAUGAUUCCAUAGAUCCAUUACGGUGCUCCCAGUGGGAAAUGACGGGUGGAUCAUGGCUGAACUGGGAUGUUUUAGGGAAUUUGAGGAGGGGUGCUCGGGGAAGAGGGAAUUUCUCCUCAGACCUACGGAGUCCAUCGAGUCCUCUGCUGACUCCCUCAGUCUGUUCUCACUUGAGUUUUAAAGUCACACAAAAUAUCCAAGGCCAGGCUGGAUGGGCUUGGAGAAACUGGAAUAAUGGAAAGUCCCUGCCCAUGGAAGGGUGGGACUGGAUGGGAUUCAAGGUCCCUUCCAACCCAAACCACCCUGGGAUUCUGGGAUGUGUUGAACACAAGCUCCCCAGUCUGACAGAUCCAAAGGAAAACAAAAUAGAGCAGAAUGUACAAUCCCAAUUUCCCUGGGUUUGGGUUGAUGAUCUCUCCUCUCUUUUAUCAUACAGAGCACAAUUCCCUGCCCGCACCAACAUUCCCGUGGGAUCUGGGGGUGACACAGUCAGGGACAGACGACAGGAAAACUUCUGCACACUGUAAAUCCCAGGAAUGUGGGAUUGCAGGAGCUGCAGGUCCCUAAAUUCCUUUGCACAAGGGAUAAUCCAAUGGUUUCAUUCCCUCUGUGCUGACUGACACUGGAAUCGUGGUGGAGCAGGUAAAAAGGGGAGAACAUUCCUGCAGUGCUGCUCAUUUUCCAUAAAAAAAACCCUGAAAUGUAAAAAUAACCUUUUUUAUAGCUUUUGAUAGUUUUAUGGGAAAAUCCAAGAAUUAUUCCAGAUGGUUCCAAAUCUCUUUAUUAGCAUGGGAGAGGCAGGGAGUGCUUGUAACUCCAAACUGGAGCCUUUUUUUUUUAAUGGAAAUGCUCCAAAAAGCCAUUUUCCUGAUGGAUCACACACUUCUGGGGGAGGAAGAGAGUUUCAAUUACCCUUAUAUAUAUGCAAAAAAACCAUUCCCAGUGGGUAAACUCUCCCAGAAUAAAACCAGGAAUGACUCUUCCACUCAGCAUGGAAAAAAAUCAGAUCCUUCUGCCUCAACUUCUCCCUACAGAGGGAAUUCACUGCCCUGCCUAGGCAGGAAAAGAGAGAAUGAACAAGAAGUUGAAGAUUGACUUUGUUUUAAAGUUUGUGGAUCCCAAUCACCCCAAAACUGAUUAUUCCAUCUCCAUGGUGGAUGCAGCAGGAAUCUGGGAUCAGUGGAGCCUGGGGCUUGCAGGGGCUGGAAGAUGCAGCUCCAUCACUUUAGGAGGAACCAGCAGUUCCUGUCCCAAAAUAAAAGGAAAUUUCACAUUCCCAGGCAUUUCUGGCCUUCAAAUCCUAACUGUGCAUCCAUGGUGUCACUGGAAUGGGUUUACUCCCUUCUAAUCCAUGUUUUUAUCCCUCCUUUUGUCCCAUCCAGGAUCCAGGCCAGGCUGGAGAAGAGGUGGGUUGGUAGCACGGUGAGAUCCGAGUGUUUCGUGAUUUUUUGUGGAAUUCAGGUUGUCCAGAGAAGCUGCCCCUGGACCCCUGGAAGUGUCCAAGGCCAGGUUGGACCCUGGGGCUUGGAGCAGCCUGGGACAGUGGGAGGUGUCCCUGCCCCCCCAUCCAGGAGUGGCACUGGGUGGGAUUUAAGGUCCCUUUCACCCAAACUACUCCAUAAUUCCACGAUUCCAUGAUUUCACAUUCCCUGUGCUUUGCGAAACAAAAAGUGAAGUCCUCCGGUGCCAUCCCUGUGCUCCCAGAUCAGCCUGAGAAAGAACUGAAAAAACCUGGAAAACUUAUCCUGUGCUCCACCCUCCUCUGCUUUGGGAACAGCCAGAUAAUUCCUGCAGCCAGCCCAUCAAACCCAGACACUUUUCCCAACAUCCCAGGACUUCAUUGCUGCUCAAUUCAGUAUUUGAUGUCCAUUUUAAAAAUCCAUCAAGGACAUUUCAAGGUUGGAUACCCCAGAACUGAAUCAGAGGGGUUUCAAAUUCCAGGGAACUGUCAGUUCCAUCUGCCUUUGAUGGCUGAUCCAACAUUUUCACAUCCAUUUUCAGUCCAAAAUGUAACGUAAAAUAAAAACCAAGAGCAGGAAAUUCAUGUCUCAAUUUGUUCUUCUUGUUCAUGGCCUGGAGUAAAAUCCCAUUUCCUUUUCGGUGCUUUAUUUUGGGAAUGUAAAAGAAGAUAAAACUACUCCUACAAUCAACAUUUGGAAGAGAAAUCCUGCUUUUCUUAGCACCUCCUGCGCCCCAGAGUAAAAUGGGAACAGGCAUGGGAAUACAGUUCCUUUCCCACAAAAACCUGGGAUUUUCAGGACACUCAGAUUAUUCUGCCCUGAAAAAAGACAUCUGUGGUCUUUGUCGAUCAAAAUUCUUUAUCAAAUAUUCCAUGGGAGAGAGAGAAUGGAAAAUCCAAAUGGAAAGAGGGAAAGAUGGAUUUCAGCCUGCAGUUUUAGCUUGGCACCUAAACAAUGGAGCAGGAUCUCCUGUUCCUUUAUCAAAGAGGAAUCACAGGGCACUUCCCAAAUCCCAACUUCCCACAGAGUUCCCAUCAUGCCACCACCACCAGCCCUGCAGCCAGAGCUCUGCCUGGGAAGUUCAUCUCCAAUGGGUAUCUAAGGUUCAGUUUGGAUUUUCCAGGGAAUUCGAGGGAAGCAGGGAAGUAUUUUAAAGGCAGUGGAAUGCUUCCUGUUUUCCUUUCCUUCCUGGUCUGUGGAAGGUGUCCCUGCCUGUGGGGUUGGAAUAGGAUGAGAUUUAAGGUCCCUUCCCACCAAAAUCUUCUGGGAUUCUGUGGAAAUGACGGACAGACUGUCAGUCUGGCUCCCAGGAGAUCCAGCCCUUCCAAGGAGAGUCCUGCCAAAAUCACCCAUGGAGAAGCAUCUUGGAUCACCCCUCAGCUCUGUGGCUCUCAGGAGACAUCCAUGGGAAGAUGCACGGCAAGGUUUGGAUCCUGGGUUCCAAGACACACCAACCUCCAAAAAAAAUCUGCCUUGGGGUGUCACCGUGCCUGACCUGAUCCUCCAUCCAUCCAUCUAUCCACAGUUCAAAUCCAGAGCAUCUAAUGGGAAAUUUGGGGAUUUGUGUUAAGGGUGUCAAACACCUCAGUCCAUCCAGAUUCAAGAGUUACAAAUCCCCCAGGCCACCAGACUCAGAAUUCCCAACAUCUUCCAAACCCCACAGUCCAUCCAGACACAGAGCUCCCACUUUCUUCCAGAUCCCAUGGUCCAUCCAGAUUUGGAGCUUCCACUUUCUUCCAAACCCUAUUCACCAUCCAGACUCAGAGUUCCCACCACUUUCCAGACCCCACAGUUCAUCAGACUCUGCGUUCCCAUUGUCAUCUGAACCCCACAGACCAUCCAGACUUGGAGCUCCCACAGUCUUCCAAAUCCCCCAGUCCAUCAGACUCAGAAUUCCCACUGACUUCCAAGCCACAUAGUCCAUUCAAAUUUGGAGCUUCCACCAUCUUCCAAACCCAACAGGCCACCUGGCUCAGAGUUCCCACCAUCUUCCAUACCCCAAGGUCCAUCAGGAUCAGAGCCACUGUUUUCCAAACCCCACAGUCCAUCCAAAUUCGGAGCUUCCCACUUUCUUUCAAACCCCACGGUCCAUCCAGACUUGGAGCUCCCACCACUUCCAAACCCCACGGUCCAUCCAGACUUGGAGUUCCCACCAUCUUCCAAACCCCACGGUCCAUCCAGACUUGGACUUCCCACCAUCUGCCAAACCCCACGGUCCAUCCAGACUUGGAGUUCCCACCAUCUUCCAAACCCCACGGUCCAUCCAGGCUUGGAGUUCCCACCAUCUUCCAAACCCCAUGGUCCAUACAGGCUUGGAGUUCCCACCAUCUUCCAAACCCCACGGUCCAUCCAGGCUUGGAGUUCCCACUUUCUUCCAAACGGAGCAAGGUGCUGAUAACCCCAAGGUUGUGGGUUCGAUCCCUGCAGGGACCAUUCAGUUCAGAUUUGUACUCGAUGAUCCCUGCAGGUCCCCUCCAGUCCAGAAUAUUCCAUGAUUCCAGGGAUGAGCUUUAAGGUCCCUUCCGACCUAAACCAUCCUGGGAUUCUCUGAAAAUGUCCUGACUGGGAGCUCCCACCGUUUUCCAAGCAGAGGAACCUAAAGACACCAAAAAUGCCUAAAAUCCAGGGAGCCAGGAGCAUCCUGGGAAUGCUCCAGCCCCCAGGCACCACCAGUUUGGACCAGUACAACUCCAGCUGACCAAGGAAAGCCCUGCCAGCGUCUCAACAAACACACGCACCACGGGGCUGCCUUACCUGGAAAGAGGCUUUAUUGAACAGAGCUGGAAAAUUAUCUCUUCAGUGGAAUUACUGAAUUUGCACAAACAUUUCUCUACAGAAUAAAAAAAAUCAAGCCUUGUCAUUGUUUUACUGCAUCUCGUUGUGCUUUUUAUACUCAUAUUUGCAAUUAUUAUACUCAUCUUUUGUUUGUUUUCACGUUUGUACUCCAAUUAUUUGCAUAUCAGGUUUUGCUUUUAAUCCUAGGGUGUCGAGAGAACACAGAAUAAUAAUAAUAAUAAUUAUUAUAAUUAUAAUAAUAAUAAUACUCUUCUUUAGACAAAAGUCUUUUUUUUUUUUUAAAUGAAGUUAAAAGCUGAGCUAAUUUAAGGAAAAAGGUCUUCAAAUUUCAUAACCAACUGGAAGGGAACUUUACAAUGCAGUGGAAAACCGGCACGUGUUCGGGUAGCUCGAACCCAUUUUGUACAGCUUUUAUUUAUUUUUUUUUUCCUUGUAAAAGUGGAUUAUUUUUAAUUUUUUUUUUUUAUACUUUUUUUCUUGUUUGUUUGUUUUUUUGAAUUUCGCUACAAUAACAAAAUAAUCUUUCGCCCUCUGCACCAAGUCUGGCUCCGGGGCAGAGGCAGAGCCCCCUCGGAGCGUCCGGAGCUCCAGAUGUCGGGAGCCAUCCCAACGGAGGGGGAGAGUAAGAAAAUCAUCCUGUGUUUCACCACCUUCUGCACCAAGUGUGUGUCUGAACCACCUUUGUUCCUCUGGUUGACCCACUGGAGAACCUGAAACGACGACGACAACGACAACAAGAAGUGCUGCUCCCGUGGGCAGCACCGCCGGGAGCUGUUCCGAAUGGAUAAGAAGCUGAAAGGCCAAGGCUGUCUGGAAGGUCACACAGCACGGAUCUCAUCCCAAAGGCUUUCCACAGCAGCUUAGGUCCAUCCAUCCUUCUCCAGAAGCGGCUCCGUCUCCUUGCCUGCACACCCAGGCUCCAGAGUUUGUUUAGAAAAGACUUUGCACAGCCCACGUUUUCA